rnacentral:rRNA from 1 species
AGAGUUUGAUCAUGGCUCAGGACGAACCCUGGCGGCGUGCCUAACACAUGCAAGUCGUACGCUUGUAAAAGCGUGGCGAACGGGUGAGUAAUGGUAGGGAACAUGCCUUAUUCCGGGAAAUACCCCACCGAAAGGUGGGCUAAUGUCCCAUAGUCUACUGUGCGUAGCACAGAAAUCCUAAAUCCGAAAUCCUAAUUUCCAAACAAAUCACAAAUUCAAAAUUAUAAAUUCUAAACAGGAAAUUGUUUUGAACAUUUGAGUUUUGAAAAUUAAAAUUUAUUUGGGAUUUAGUGCUUAGAAUUUAGAGUUUCCGUGCUGUGCGCGUUAGUAAAGCUCCGGCGGAAUAAGAUUGGCCCUAUUCCUAUCAGCUAGUUGGUAAGGUAAUGGCUUACCAAGGCUUCGACGGGUAGCUGGUCUGAGAGGAUGGUCAGCCACAAUGGAACUGAGACACGGUCCAUACACCUACGGGUGGCAGCAGUUGGGAAUAUUGCACAAUGGGCGACAGCCUGAUGCAGCGACGCCGCGUGAAGGAAGACGGCCUUCGGGUUGUAAACUUCUUUUUUAGGGGACGAUUAUGACGGUACCCUAAGAAUAAGGACCUGCUAACUACGUGCCAGCAGCAGCGGUAAUACGUAGGGUCCAAGCGUUGUCCGGAUUUAUUGGGCGUAAAGAGCAUGUAGGUGGAAAAAUGGGUCGGGUUUUAAAUCUCCAGGCUUAACUUGGAUUUUGGACCCGAAACUAUUUUUCUCGAGGAUAGCAGGGGCAAGUGGAAUUAGCGGAGUAGCAGUGGAAAUGCGUUGAGCUCGCUAAGAACACCGAUGGCGAAGGCAGCUUGCUAGGUUAUCCCUGACACUGAGAUGCGAAAGCGUGGGUAGCGAACGGGAUUAGAUACCCCGGUAGUCCACGCCGUAAACGAUGCAGACUAGGUAUUAGAAGUAUCGACCCUUCUUGUACCAAAGCUAACGCGUUAAGUCUGCCGCCUGGGAAGUACGGUCGCAAGACUAAAACUCAAAGGAAUUGACGGGGACUCGCACAAGCGGUGGAGCAUGUGGUUUAAUUCGACAAUAAGCGAAGAACCUUACCAGGGAUUGACAUCUAGAGGACCCUGUAGAAAUACGGGGGUGCCCGCAAGGGAACUCUAAGACAGGUGCUGCACGGCUGUCGUCAGCUCGUGUCGUGAGAUGUGGCCUUAAGUGGUCAAACGAGCGAAACCUAUGUCCUGUGUUGAUUUUCACGGGAGACUGCCUCGGUUUACGGGGAGGAAGGCGUAGACGACGUCAAGUCAGCGUGGCUCUUACACCCUGGGCUACACACGUGCUACAAUGGCAAUACCAUAAAGAGUUGCAAGAUCGCAAGAUUAAGCUAAUCUCCUAAAAAUUGCCUCAGUACGGAUUGAGGGCUGCAAUUCGCCCUCAUGAAGAUGGAAUCGCUAGUAAUCGUGGGUCAGCUAUACCACGGUGAAUACGUUCUCGAGUCUUGUACACACCGCCCGUCAAGUGAGCCGAGUCGGCGGGGCCCGAACUCCGACGUAUCGGAGAACGGCCAAGUUGGUAAGGAGCACUAAGUCGUAAUCAAGGUAACC